rnacentral:lncRNA from 1 species
GGCUGCAGCAUUAGGAAGCCUGACCCCUGGGCAGCUGAUCCGCGUGGAGCUGGGCUGCAGGGACCGGAGAGCUCCAGGUCUUCGGACUGUUUGUCUUUGACCUUCACUGGUGGGGUUGCGGAGCCCGGCUUUAAAGGACCCUAGCCACGUACCUCAUUUUAACUUAAUUAUGUCUCUGAAGACCUGUCUCCAAAUGAGGUAUGGGGGCUUAAGACUUGAACUCGUGGAUUUUGAGGAGGACACAAUCCAUCCUAUAACACAGGAGUUCUUUCUGGGCUAUUCACAGUUCAGUAGGGAUCUGACAGCUGGCUGACAGAGAAUUCCCUCCCGAGCAAGACCUGGUCUCAGCCUGGUGCAGCGCUAGCCAGAAGCCUGCAGAUGUGGACAAGUGGGAAGCACUGGGUCCGUGGCCUGGAGUAAGAGGUUGGCAGGAAGACAAGGGCAAGAAUGACUCAGCCCCUUUGUCGUCACGCUCAGAAGGAAUCCAUCUUAUCAGGCCCCAAAUGACCAGCAGGACAAAGAGAUACUGCUUAGAAGGUGUGAUGGAAGAAAAAAACCAGCUGUCGGGUCUCAGCUCACGAAGCUCUAACACCGAAACUGGGUGGUACUCACGGCAGGAUGGCAUCAAAAACCGGAGGGACUUGAGACAGAUAGGCGGCUGACUUGUCCUUGUGCCCAAGCUGGCCAUCUCCUAUAAGCAUGUUUCAACAGUUCCCUACCAAGUCGGAGUUAAGAUGACGGAAAAUGUCCAGAGGAAAAUCAUUUGGAUUCUACUUUGCCACUGUCCCACUCGACAUUUUCAUCAAUAACAAAUCGAUGAAAUGCUUAUUAAAUGUGUUGAUCAAUAAUUGGAAGGGAUAACUCAUGUAUAGAGCUUCACCAAUAAAAAUUCAGAAUGA